rnacentral:rRNA from 1 species
UGAGGAAUAUUGGUCAAUGGACGCAAGUCUGAACCAGCCAAGUAGCGUGCAGGAUGACGGCCCUAUGGGUUGUAAACUGCUUUUAUAUGGGGAUAAAGUGGGGAACGUGUUCCCUUAUUUCAUGUACCAUACGAAUAAGGACCGGCUAAUUCCGUGCCAGCAGCCGCGGUAAUACGGAAGGUCCAGGCGUUAUCCGGAUUUAUUGGGUUUAAAGGGAGCGUAGGCUGUUUGUUAAGCGUGUUGUGAAAUGUAGGAGCGCAACUUUUAGAAUGCAGCGCGAACUGGCAGACUUGAGUGCGCACAACGUAGGCGGAAUUCAUGGUGUAGCGGUGAAAUGCUUAGAUAUCAUGAAGAACUCCGAUUGCGAAGGCAGAUUACGGGAGCGAAACUGACGCUAAAGCUCGAAGGUGCGGGUAUCGAACAGG